AACGAUGUAGAUGCUGAGGCUACAGAUCUCACAACCUACCCCGACUUGUAAUAAAUAAGUUAUGAUGUGGUGUGGAAGUGCAAUAAUGGAAAUGUGUGCGUAGCAGAGGUAUUUAUUGUCCUACGAUAUUCAUUCAUUCAUUCGUUCAAGACAUUGAUUUAGUGUCGCCCGGAAGGUAUUUUCCAAGCCCUGUGUUAAAUUCUCGGAAUGUAAAGAUGAAUGGUGAACAUUCAGAAAGAGGGGACCGCUUCGAGACUUGGCAAAUCAUUAAAUGGUUUUAAGCAGGAAAGUGACAUCGUUUAAUGGUACUGGGCAUCGAACUCACGACUUUGCAUUUGCCAGGCAGGCGCAGUGCCACUAAGCUACGGUUACCGAACUGUUACCAGAGCACCUUAACAGAUAACACAGGAAUCACCAAUCAAAAUUUUGAGGAAACAUAGCAACACCUGCUGGACACCACAAAGACAACUAAUUCGAGGGUCUCAGUAUGUAAUAAACUGGCCUUGGGCCCGUUACAUAGUCCAAGCUGGCCUCAAACUCCUGAUCCUCCUACCUCAGCAUCCUGAACACAAGGAUUACAGGAAGAAGUUUGCUGAUCCUCUCUGCUCCAGCCAUUGAAUUAUAACAUCCACCCAAACACAGACAUAAGGGUUUUACCUAUUGUUAAACAGAUUCUGGAGAGAUUCUGGGGCAGAAAGCACUGGUUCUACAUCCUGGUCGCUGAGAGGUAAAGGGUCACCUGACGAUUCCAGCAUUUGCUUAAGGCCAACUACACUGUCCAACAGAGAAUCCAGAUUGUCGUCAUCUUUUGAAUGUUCC